GGCGGUUCUCAAGUGACACACCCCAGAAUUGGGCUCCCUCCUCUCUGGUUCUGGGGGUGUCACCCGAGAACCACA
rfam:Myotis brandtii contig161571, whole genome shotgun sequence.